rnacentral:piRNA from 1 species
GUCAGUAAAAAUGGGAAAAGUGCUA